rfam:Heterocephalus glaber contig179720, whole genome shotgun sequence.
GGAUGUGAGGGCGAUCUGACUGCAACAUCUGUCACCCCACUGAUGGCCAGGGUUGAUUCGGCUGAUGUGGCUGGCCAGGCGGGUGUCCCCUUCCUCCUCACCGCUCCAUGUGCAUCCCUCCUGAAGCUGAAGCUGAAACUGCCAAGCUGCCUGCUAGGUCGGAGAGGACAGACGCGCCCCCACUCCCCCCAACCCAACCCCACCACAGAGGAGGACCGUUUCCUUGGUCAAGGGUAUACCAAUAGCUGCGCUCCCCUGGUAAAACCUCCAAACAAGCUCUCAAGAAAACCUGAUUGGCCCAAGGUGAGUUGACUCUUAAUGCAGUCGACUGUAGUU